AUGUCACAUACAAGUAAAGAAGCUCAGGGUGCAGCAGCUGCUCUGGAAGAAGAGACAGAGUUAGAGCAGACAGAUGAAUCAAAUAUCGGGCAAAAUAUAGCACCACCUGAAGAGCCUCGUAGAAGUGAAAGAGCCCGGACAUUAACAGAAAAGGGAAAGGAGUUCCAGAAAGAGCAAAUCAAAGGGCUAUUGCUUCGCUUUGACAGCAAAUAUGAACGAUGGAAAGCUCUGAUUAAGGUAGCUAAAAGAUCUGUGUUAAAACAGGAUCCUAGUGACAUCCUACAAGAACACGUCACCAGUAUUCAAAGGGAAUUAUCUGAAUUGAACAUUGCUUAUGAUGAUUACCGAAGAAUUGAUCAACCAGGCCAUGACAUGCGUCGCAAGAUGGAUAACUGCAUCUCGAUCACUAAGACUGUAGUACAAAAUGCUCAAUCUGAAAUGCAGGGAACAGCGGAGGAGUUGAUUUGGCCAGAUCAUACUUCUGUAUUCUCAUCCUCAGCUUCCAGUGUUUCACUUCCUGCCUCUAAUGGUUCUAAAGCUUCUUCUAUUCAUUCAAAUGUAUCUUCACUUAGAAGACAAGAAGCUGCUGCCGAGUAUGCAGCUACACAGGCUGUACUGCAGAUUAUGGCUGAACAAGAGGGCCACCAAGAGAAGCUGCAAAACCUUGAAGCUGAAGAGAGGUUGAUCAUUGCAGACCAAGAAGGAGCUGCAUUAGCUCGUCGUCUUGAAGGAGAAAGAGAAGAAACUGAACGUAGGCUAGAAAGAGAGAAACAAGAGGCUGCUCUCUUAAAGAAACAGCAAGAAGAGAAUGCUGCAAGAAGAAGGUCUGUAGAAAACCUAAAGAGAGAACUUGAGCGUUUGGAGAAUUUGAAAAGGUUGAAUGCAGCCAAAGCAAGGCUUCAAGUGUAUGAUGAGAAUGAGCUCAGUCCAGCCCAAGGGAACGCUCCACAGAGCCUGGAUCUACAUAAGGUUAUGCACCCACUCAGCCAGAUGAAGCCUGAGGACCAGCACUCACAACCACCAAAGGAUGCAGUGCCAACACAUGUGCUUCAAGAUGGCACAGGAGAGCUUGUGAAGGUCUUAGCUGAGGCUAUAUCAGCAAAUAGGCUACCCAUUCCACAGCCCACAGUUUUUAGUGGUGAUCCACUCAAGUUUAAUCAUUGGAAGUCAUCCUUCCAAACUCUUAUUGAAAAGAAAAACGUUCCAAGCUCAGAGAAAAUAUUCUUCCUCCAGAAAUACGUUGGAGGAGCAGCUAGAGAGGCAUUAGAAGGUUAUUUUCUGAUUGGCUCAGAUACUGCAUAUGUUGCUGCAUGGGAACUCCUCAAUGAGAGAUACGGCCAGCCUUUUAUGAUUGCCAAAGCCUGCCGAGACAAAUUACAUGCCUGGCCAAAAAUAGCGUCAAGAGAGAGCGCUGACUUAAGGAAAUUCGUG
ensembl:lncRNA